AUUGAACGCUGGCGGCAGGCCUAACACAUGCAAGUCGAGCGAGCGGCGGACGGGUGAGUAAUGUCUGGGAAACUGCCUGAUGGAGGGGGGUAACUACUGGAAACGGUAGCUAAUACCGCAUACCAUCGGAUGUGCCCAGAUGGGAUUAGCUAGUAGGUGGGGUAAAGGCUCACCUAGGCGACGAUCCCUAGCUGGUCUGAGAGGAUGACCAGCAACACUGGAACGAGGACACGGUCCAGACUCCUACGGGUGGCAGCAGUGGGGAAUAUUGCACAAGGGGCGCAAGCCUGAUGCAGCCAUGACGCGUGUAUGAAGAAGGUCGUCGGGGUGUAAAGUACUUUCAGCGGGGAGGCGUUACCCGCAGAAGAAGCACCGGCUAACUCCGUGCCAGCAGCCGCGGUAAUAC
rnacentral:rRNA from 1 species